rnacentral:rRNA from 2 species
UUGAUUGACGUGCUUGCACUGAUUUCAACAUUGGAACGAGUGGCGAACUGGUGAGUAACACGUGGAAAACCUGCCCAGAAGCAGGGGAUAACACUUGGAAACAGGUGCUAAUACCGUAUAACAACAAAAACCGCAUGGUUUUUGUUUGAAAGGUGGCUUCGGCUAUCACUUCUGGAUGGUUCCGCGGCGCAUUAGCUUGUUGGUGGGGUAACGGCUCACCAAGGCGAUGAUGCGUAGCCGACCUGAGAGGGUAAUCGGCCACAUUGGGACUGAGACACGGCCCAGACUCCUACGGGAGGCAGCAGUAGGGAAUCUUCCACAAUGGACGCAAGUCUGAUGGAGCAAUGCCGCGUGAGUGAAGAAGGGUUUCGGCUCGUAAAACUCUGUUGUUGAAGAAGAACGG